UACGUAGGGGGCGAGCGUUGUCCGGAUUUAUUGGGCGUAAAAGGCUUGUAGGUGGCCACGUCAAGUCGGCUGUGAAAUCUCCCGGCUUAACUGGGAGGGUGCGCCGAAGACUGGAAGGCUAGAGUAUGGGAGAGGUAAGCGGAAUUCCUGGUGUAGCGGUGAAAUGCGUAGAUAUCAGGAGGAACACCUGCGGUGUAGACGGCUUACUGGACCAUAACUGACGCUGAGGCACGAAAGCGUGGGUAGCAAACAGG
rnacentral:rRNA from 1 species